AUGUUUGCAACAUCGUCCAAAUCUGCAGACCUGACCCUAAGAGCUUUGAGGGGUUCCCAUGGAUUCGCAUCCUCAUUGAUGGUUUGUGGUGGUGCAGGUGGAUCAGCUGGGAGCAGAGCUGGCGGCAGAAAGAGCGUCCUCUCAGAACAGGGAGGGGUCCAGGCUGCAGCUGGAGAAACAAAGCCGGGACCUGAAGGCCAAACUUCAGGACGUGGAGAGUCAGGCCCGCUCCAAGCUCAAGUCCUCCGUCGCUGCUCUGGAGGCCAAACUGAGGGAGGCGGAGGAGCAGCUGGAGGUGGAGAGCAGAGAGCGGCAAGCCAGCGCCAAGAAUCUGCGGCAGAAGGAGAAGAAGCUGAAGGAUCUGACCACCCAAAUGGAGGACGAGAGGAAGCAGGCCCAGGACUACAAAGACCAGAUGGAGAAGAGCAGCGCCCGCAUGAAGCAGCUGAAACAUCAGCUGGAGGAGGCAGAGGAGGAGGCGCAGCGAGUGGCGGCUGCACGCAGGAAACUGCAGAGGGAGCUGGACGAGGCGCUGGAGGCCAACGACGCUCUCAGCAGGGAGGUGUCCUCACUCAGGAGCAAACUGAGGUAAUCUGGAGCUCCAACUUAGGCUGUGGGGUCUGUAGAGGCAGAACUGUAAAGCACGGAGGUGGAGGCAUGAUGGUGAGGAUGACUGACGGCUUUUAG
rnacentral:lncRNA from 1 species